ACGAACGCUGGCGGCGUGCUUAACACAUGCAAGUCGAACGGAAAGGCCCUGCUUUUGUGGGGUGCUCGAGUGGCGAACGGGUGAGUAACACGUGAGUAACCUGCCCUUGACUUUGGGAUAACUUCAGGAAACUGGGGCUAAUACCGGAUAGGAGCUCCUGCUGCAUGGUGGGGGUUGGAAAGUUUCGGCGGUUGGGGAUGGACUCGCGGCUUAUCAGCUUGUUGGUGGGGUAGUGGCUUACCAAGGCUUUGACGGGUAGCCGGCCUGAGAGGGUGACCGGCCACAUUGGGACUGAGAUACGGCCCAGACUCCUACGGGAGGCAGCAGUGGGGAAUAAUGCACAAUGGGCGGAAGCCUGAUGCAGCAACGCCGCGUGCGGGAUGACGGCCUUCGGGUUGUAAACCGCUUUCGCCUGUGACGAAGCGUGAGUGACGGUAAUGGGUAAAGAAGCACCGGCUAACUACGUG
rnacentral:rRNA from 1 species